GGAGGGGUUCCCGAGUGGCCAAAGGGAGCAGACUGUAAAUCUGCCGGCUCCGCCUUCGAUGGUUCGAAUCCGUCCC
rnacentral:tRNA from 1 species